rnacentral:tRNA from 1 species
GCGUGUAGCUCAAUGGUAGAGCCGAGGCCUUCCAAGCCUAUGACCAGGGUUCGAUUCCCUGCAUCCGCUCCA